rnacentral:rRNA from 1 species
UUGCACGCUGGCGGAAUGCUUUACCCAUGCAAGUCGAGCGGCAGCGCGGCCUUCGGGCUGGCGGCGAGCGGCGAACGGGUGAGUAAUGCAUCGGAACAUGCCCAGUCGUGGGGGAUAACACUUCGAAAGAAGUGCUAAUACCGCAUACGUCCUGAGGGGGAAAGCGGGGGAUCGCAAGACCUCGCGCGAUUGGAGUGGCCGAUGUCAGAUUAGCUAGUUGGUGGGGUAAAGGCCUACCAAGGCGACGAUCUGUAGCUGGUCUGAGAGGAUGAUCAGCCACACUGGGACUGAGACACGGCCCAGACUCCUACGGGAGGCAGCAGUGAGGAAUUUUGGACAAUGGGGGCAACCCUGAUCCAGCCAUUCCGCGUGAGUGAAGAAGGCCUUCGGGUUGUAAAGCUCUUUCGGCAGGAACGAAACGGUGGGCUCUAACAUAGUCCGCUAAUGACGGUACCUGAAGAAGAAGCACCGGCUAACUACGUG